CACGUAGGGUGCAAGCGUUGUCCGGAAUCAUUGGGCGUAAAGCGCGUGUAGGCGGCUCGGUAAGUCUGCUGUGAAAGUCCAGGGCUCAACCCUGGGAUGCCGGUGGAUACUGUCGAGCUCGAGUCCGGAAGAGGCGAGUGGAAUUCCUGGUGUAGCGGUGAAAUGCGCAGAUAUCAGGAGGAACACCAAUGGCGAAGGCAGCUCGCUGGGACGUGACUGACGCUGAGACGCGAAAGCGUGGGGAGCAAACAGG
rnacentral:rRNA from 1 species